UACACGCUAGUUAUUCAUAUAUUAUAGUCAAUGGACAUUGGUUAUUAAGUAAAUCUGAUCUGUUUUGAUGAUGUGUGAUGACAAAUAUAUUACAUUGUUUCUACUGAUCUACAAUAUAUCGAAAACACUUUUGGUAGGCUUUAUGCUUGAGUUUGUGUUAUGCAUGGGUUGUAUCUUGCUCUAAAUAUAAAAUAGGGAAUAAAAUGAGGUAUUAGGUUUGUGAUUUCCAAAAGUGCUAAAAUGGACUGGAGUAUGCAUUUUCUUACCAAUUUAUCACUCUGUUCUACGAUUAUAGCCUGCAAAUAGUAAAUAUGUACCUCUUAUUGCUCUUAACAUGUAAUCUCCUAAUUCUUGGCAGGCCACAUGAGUUGCGUCUUUCUGUAAAUAUGGACAAAGAAUAAGGUUGAUAGAACUUUAGAUAAUUUUGAGUGAGUUGUAAGUGUUGGAUACAGUUAGUAAGAACCUAGCAGGAUACGUUUACUCAUUCUUGAUUAUCAGCUCUAAACAGUUUACAUCACUUGCAAACAUAUUGUUAGCCUCAUACUGCUGGUACAGUUAAGUAUUUUCAGAAACAAACAUAUUCUUUGAGUAAAACAUCAAAUUUCAUAUCGUUUCUACUCCUGAAUCACAAUGUCCUAAUUCUUGGUAGGCAGCAUAAGUUGCAUCCUGCUGUAAAUAUGGACAAAAAAUAAAGUUGAUGGAAUUUAGGUGAGCAUUAUGUGAGUCGUAGAUGCUCAUAAAGGACCAUCACACAUACACUAAGCGUAUUAGUGCCAUGGAUAUGAUAGAACGUGUUUGUUAUGUUUCUUCACCUGUAGUGGCUAGUUUGGUAAUUAAUAUGACAAUGGUACAUAAUAAUGGUGAGCAGAUCUUCCACUGUUUUUUACCCACCAAUUCCAGUGCCCUACUUAUUGGUGCACUGCAUGAAUCGCACAUUGAACCAACUGAUGGAAACUAUGUUUAUAAUUCUCUUAGUUUUGAUCAUUACUGCAGAUGAUUCAUUAACGUACUACUGAGCCUCUUUUUAUUAACAUAAUGACCAAGAGCUCUUAUUGCGCUGAUACUAGAUUCGCUGCUCUAUUCUGGUACCAACAAUUAAGAAGCUUUUUCGGUGACUUGCUACGCCAAAAACUGAACCGCAAGAUUCUGUUUAAAAGAUGCGCCAUUCUCGUGUUGUAGUAUGCAAUGUCCUAAUUCUUGGUAGUCCGCAUGAGUUGCGUCCUGCUGUAAAUAUGGACAAACAAUAUAUUUGACGGAAUUUAGGUGAGCAUUUUAUGAGUCGUAGAUGCUCAUAAAGGACCGUCACACAUACACUUGGGUACUAGAAGCAGAUAUAGUAGAACAUGUGGGUUGCGUUUCACCACCUGAAGUUUGGUAGAAUAUCUGCAUAGGAAAUUAGCAACCGGAUCUUCUACUAUUAUUUCCUACAAAUUUCAGUGACCUAUUUAUUGGAAGCACAUGUUGGCAGUAAAUAUGGACAGAAAACAAAUUGAUCACAAAUGGUUUUUUGGUAGUUUUCUGAUUCAUAAUGUUGAGCAUCGAGCUGAAACAGUGUUAGUAUUUGAGAUCUAUCAUGGACAUGUGAUCUCUUACUUGAUGUUUGUGUACUCUUAAUGAAGAGCUAUUUUUGAUGUUUGUGUACUCUUAAUGAAGAGCUAUUUUUCAUUUUUCUUAAACUGCUGUAUACUCUUGAUGAAGUACUUUGGUCUUAUGCUUUUGAUUCAAGUGUGGCACAUAUAAGCACUUUCUCAC
rnacentral:lncRNA from 1 species